AUCUGUCUACACAAUUGAUUUCAAUUAACGUUUUAGGCACACGAGCCAUUAGAUGACUUAUAUAAAAUAAAUUUGUCAAAACAAUCUCCACAGAUCAUCAGUCAGAUUCAAAUAUUCAUAUCCAGACUUACAGGUACAAACAUAGGCAUAAAUGUGUAUGGCUUAUUUGUAAUCGAUCAUUCAACAAUACUUAUGGUGUUUGGGACAAUAAUUUCGUAUGCUGUAAUUGUCGUUCAAUUUUCUCUAACCCCAAACUGUCAAACUGUCU